rnacentral:ncRNA from 2 species
CGCCCCCACAGCGCCGAUUUGUUCCGAAUUGCGGGCGCUUUAAAAAUGCCGCUAAAGAGGGACGCCCGACCCGGUG